rnacentral:lncRNA from 1 species
CUGGAAAUUGCGAAAAAAUUAAAUACAACUGAAACAUAUCAAAGAGGAGAAUACUGCUUUGCUCUCACACAGACAGGAGCAUUACUGGCUAACAUUGUACUCCAGGUCAGCAAUGGCAGUGUUGUCAGCCAUCUGAGCCCAUCUGUGUGUCCUGUGAUGUCAGCUGGUCAGGCUGGAUCUUUUCCUAGAAUAAUGACUCACUUUUGUUUUCUCUUAUGCUUUAGGAAGGGGUAAGAAACUUCAAGGAACUUCGAGCCAAAUUUCAAAACUGUGAUGCUCUGCCUCUUCUAGGACCUAUUAAAUUACCAGCAAGUGUUUCUCAAAAGGGUGACUUCGGAUGCACAAGGCCCCCCCAGAUUUUGGCCCAUGGGAAACCCCUCCCAUCCAACCACAAUUGGCCACCAUCACAUGGCUCCAUUGGUGAGUCCCAGACUCCUAAAACCCAGCAAAUGAAGUUGACCCAGAGGAGUAAAAUUCAGAAGAGCCCAAGUUUCCCAGGACUUUUGGAAAACCCUGCUGUGUGUUCUCCAAGAAAUUCCCAGGAAGCUUCUCUGCUCUUAGAUGUGAAUCGAUCCAAUACUGAGAUGACCAGUGAGGAAAAAGGAACAGUGGCCAACAGCUUUCAAGACAAGCUCAGGAAGUGGGAGAAAGUUUCAUCUCAGAAGAGUGUGACGUUCUCAGCUCUUCUCCUUACCAACGGUGGGGGUAAAGCCUUCCAUCCAGAAGAGGAGAAAAGCACAAAGUUUCUUCCACAUAGACCAAGGGAAAAGAUUCAAACAAAAUGGGCCCUGACACUCCCUUCCAAGAAGGAGUUGGCCCAAAGAAAAGCACUCGCCACCUGUGAACAACCCCCCUCUCCAUGUUCUCAAGCUGGCGAGAAGAACCAAGAAAAACCCAGUGUUGAAGGGAACUCAGCAGGUGGUCCCUGCCAGCCUGUUUAUGAAUGUGAGCUGGCCAUCCCAGCCCCAGCAAACCCGCCAGACACGCAGCAUCGCCAGCUCCCCAGAACAAAGCCACUGCCCCCUGUGGGGUCUCUGGGUCCGGCUCCCCCAAAGCCCCUGAAGCCGCCAGCUGUAGACCUCCAGGCCUUCCAGAGGCAGCCAGCUGCUCUCUCCAAGGCCCAAUACAAAGGUAAGGAGAUGCAUGGGGCCCUUGCACGGCCUGUGCUCUGCAGGCCUAGGCCCUGGUGUCCCUCCCUUGGCAUCAACUCCCAGGUAAUGUGGCACUGCCACUCUUCCCCUUCCUGGGCCGGAUGUUCAUCACUGUUGAGCUCUCACACAGUCCCAGCAGUUUACCUGCUGAAUAACAAAGCUGCGGGACUUGGCCCGUCACUCCCAGGCCACCUGCUUCCCCUGAGAGUGCUGCACUGGAUCGACUGGGAAUCCAUCCAAGAGGAAGAGAACACAAAGUCACUGAGCACGGAGCCAGUGGGCCUUGGUGCUCCCUGCAAAGCCUGUGUUGUCAACACAAUCAUGCAGGACAAGGGAGGUGGGAGCUAG